rnacentral:lncRNA from 1 species
GGCCCCUUUCUCUUGGAAACCUAAGCAGUCAAGAACAGGACAUUGGGACAGUGACACAGGAAGGGAGAAGAGAACUGACAUGGAGCAUCUGGUGGCUUCUUCUAGCAAACUGGCCUCUGAGCAGGCAGCUGAUAUCAAAGAAGGAACCCUUGGACGCCCACCCACUGCUGUCUGACCCCUUUGCGUUGAGUCCGACGGCUCCGUUCCCCUGCCAAGGCGUCUCCAAAGGGCGCUGGCACGUUGCCGCCUGUGAUGCCUCCUCAGGAUGCUAAUCAUGAUGUGCAGCAAGUCCCACAAAGUACAUGGAGUGCCCCGUCUUAUUUUUUUGGGAAGAGGGAUGUGGAAACAUGUGUACUUGGCAGCCACAAGGAUCAGAGCGGGAAAAGAGAUGAGAUGAAACAGAACCGAAAUUGUGUUGAUCUACAAACUUUGGAGAUGAUGGGAAGCUCUUACAUGGGCCAGAGCCCAGGCAAAGCCCUACAUGUUGUACGGGACACGCUGCGUACUCACUGCUGA